rnacentral:rRNA from 1 species
AUGCUGUCUUCUCACUGCGAGAGCAUGCUGGCCUACGCCGCCGCCGCCGGACGGCGCGCGAUGCUGGUCGACCCCCGGCGCUACCGGCCCAACGUGGAGGUGGCGCCCAACUGCCCGCGCUGCGACUCGCCCAACACCAAGUUCUGCUACUACAACAACUACAGCCUCAGCCAGCCGCGCUACUUCUGCAAGGGCUGCCGCCGCUACUGGACCAAGGGCGGGUCCCUCCGCAACGUGCCCGUCGGCGGCGGCUGCCGCAAGAACCGGCGGGGCAAGCCUGUGCGGUCCAUGGCCGAGGCCGACACGGCCUCGCCGAGCCACGGCGCGGCAGUGUUCUCUCACCGCUUCCACGGCCCGGUCCGACCCGACCUGCUCCUGGAAGGCAUGGUUGGCAACCCGGCCGAGCUCGCCCAGCCGGAGCCGGGCGAGGCUGAGAAGCCCGCCGGAGCCGCCGACGGCCCGACGAUCGAUCUGGCACUGCUCUACUCCAAGUUCUUGAGCCAACAGCCUCUCGCCGAGCAGGGCGCCGUCGUGCCGGAAUCGGCCGGCCCCUCGAGUGGGUCAAGCACGGAGAUGAGCCCGCCGGCCCUAUCCAGCCCAGGCCAACACGGGUUGGGCGAAAUCUGCGGGCCGGCGAGCAGCACGGAGCCCAGCGCGACGACGAUGCUCCAGUGCGCCGACGCGCGCGCGCACGCGCUUGGCGAGUUCAACUUCAGCGUGGACCAGAGCUGCUACGACUCGCUCGGGCUGCCAACGGACGGCGCCGAUCUGACGAUGCUCCCGCCGGCGUGGGACCAGGAGGCCAAGUACGAGCCGUUCAGUUCGCUUCCCGAUCAGGAGGACGCCAUGAGCCUCCACGACGCCGUCCCCGCCGGCGACGACGUGUGGAGCAAGGUGCUGGGCUGCCAAGGGCUGGAAGCCGCUCUCUCCGCAGGCCUCGAUCGAUGCUAA